rnacentral:pre_miRNA from 1 species
UGGGGGCAGCCCCGAAUCCUGGGCUGUGUCCCCCAGCGCCCUGGGCUCCUGGGCCUGCGCCUCUGGAAUUGUGCUCUCGGGUCGUGCAGCCCCAU